GGACGAACGCUGGCGGCGUGCUUAACACAUGCAAGUCGAACGAAGCUUGAUUACGGAUUCUUCGGAAGAAGUAUGAUAUGACUGAGUGGCGGACGGGUGAGUAACGCGUGAGUAACCUGCCCUUCAGAGGGGGAUAGCGUUUGGAAACGAACGGUAAUACCGCAUAAUGUAUUUUGACCGCAUGAUCGAAAUACCAAAGAUUUAUCGCUGAAGGAUGGACUCGCGUCUGAUUAGGUAGUUGGUGGGGUAACGGCCUACCAAGCCGACGAUCAGUAGCCGGACUGAGAGGUUGAUCGGCCACAUUGGGACUGAGACACGGCCCAGACUCCUACGGGAGGCAGCAGUGGGGAAUAUUGCACAAUGGGCGCAAGCCUGAUGCAGCAACGCCGCGUGAAGGAAGACGGUUUUCGGAUUGUAAACUUCUGUUCUUAGUGAAGAAUAAUGACGGUAGCUAAGGAGCAAGCCACGGCUAACUACGUGCCAGCAGCCGCGGUAAUACGUAGGUGGCAAGCGUUGUCCGGAAUUACUGGGUGUAAAGGGAGCGCAGGCGGGUGAUCAAGUCAGCUGUGAAAACUACGGGCUUAACCCGUAGACUGCAGUUGAAACUGUUCAUCUUGAGUGAAGUAGAGGUUGGCGGAAUUCCGAGUGUAGCGGUGAAAUGCGUAGAUAUUCGGAGGAACACCGGUGGCGAAGGCGGCCAACUGGGCUUUAACUGACGCUGAGGCUCGAAAGUGUGGGGAGCAAACAGGAUUAGAUACCCUGGUAGUCCACACUGUAAACGAUGAUUGCUAGGUGUGGGGGGUCUGACCCCUUCCGUGCCGGAGCUAACGCAAUAAGCAAUCCACCUGGGGAGUACGACCGCAAGGUUGAAACUCAAAGGAAUUGACGGGGACCCGCACAAGCAGUGGAUUAUGUGGUUUAAUUCGAAGCAACGCGAAGAACCUUACCAGCACUUGACAUCCAACUAACGAAAUAGAGAUAUAUUAGGUGCCCUUCGGGGAAAGUUGAGACAGGUGGUGCAUGGUUGUCGUCAGCUCGUGUCGUGAGAUGUUGGGUUAAGUCCCGCAACGAGCGCAACCCUCGCCAUUAGUUGCUACGCAAGAGCACUCUAAUGGGACCGCUACCGACAAGGUGGAGGAAGGUGGGGACGACGUCAAAUCAUCAUGCCCCUUAU
rnacentral:rRNA from 1 species